ACUAUUUUGGCAGAAUGAGUGCCUUGAAUUUAGAAUUCAAAUAUGUAAAUAAUUACAAAUAGUA
rnacentral:tRNA from 2 species